rnacentral:rRNA from 1 species
AGCGAACGCUGGCGGCAGGCCUAACACAUGCAAGUCGAACGAACCCUUCGGGGUUAGUGGCGGACGGGUGAGUAACACGUGGGAACGUGCCUUUAGGUUCGGAAUAACUCAGGGAAACUUGUGCUAAUACCGAAUGUGCCCUUCGGGGGAAAGAUUUAUCGCCUUUAGAGCGGCCCGCGUCUGAUUAGCUAGUUGGUGAGGUAAUGGCUCACCAAGGCUACGAUCAGUAGCUGGUCUGAGAGGAUGAUCAGCCACAUUGGACUGAGACACGGCCCAAACUCCUACGGGAGGCAGCAGUGGGGAAUAUUGGACAAUGGGCGCAAGCCUGAUCCAGCCAUGCCGCGUGAGUGAUGAAGGCCUUAGGGUUGUAAAGCUCUUUCGUCCGGGACGAUAAUGACGGUACCGGAAGAAGAAGCCCCGGCUAACUUCGUGCCAGCAGCCGCAGUAACAC